rnacentral:tRNA from 1 species
GGGCGGUUAGCUCAGCGGUAGAGCAUUCGCCUUACACGCGAAGGGUCGGGGGUUCGAAACCCUCACCGCCCA